rnacentral:rRNA from 1 species
AUUGAACGCUGGCGGUAUGCUUAACACAUGCAAGUCGAACGGCAGCAUGGUCUAGCUUGCUAGACUGAUGGCGAGUGGCGGACGGGUGAGUAACGCGUAGGAAUAUGCCUCGAAGAGUGGGACAACUUGGGGAAACUCAAGCCAAUACCGCAUGUACUCGAGAGAGUAAAGCUGGGGACCUUUAGGCCUGGCCCUUUAAGAUUAGCCUGGGUCCGAUUAGCUAGUUGGUAGGGUAAGGGCCUACCAAGGCGACGAUCGGUAGCUGGUCUGAGAGGAUGAUCAGCCACACUGGAACUGAGAGACGGUCCAGACUCCUACGGGAGGCAGCGGUGGGGAAUAUUGGACAAUGGGGGGAACCCUGAUCCAGCAAUGCCGCGUGUGUGAAGAAGGCCUGAGGGUUGUAAAGCACUUUCAGUGGGGAGGAGGUUUGGAAGGUUAAGAGCUAUUCAAAUGGACGUUACCCACAGAAGAAGCACCGGCUAACUCCGUGCCAGCCGCCGCGGUAA